UUUCUUUUUCUGCAUCCACUGCACUGUUAAGUGCUUCACCACAUUGUUCUCAUUUCUAUUAUUUCUGAAAAAAAUCUUCAGGAUUCUGCUUGUGGGAGUGGAUGACAUUCUUGCAGUGUUUACAGUCACAAAAUAAACAAGAUGUCUGUGGCAACACUCAGGCCAUUGAUGCCUUCCCUCCUAUGUAUCAAAUCACACAUUUGGACUUUGAACUCUCGCAUUUCAGAUGCUCAAUCUUGAGGUAUAGUAAAAGGGAGCAUGAACUUGAGAAAAUGCACUUUCAACACAAAGCAGUAAUAAUAUAAGGUCAAAUCAGAUUCUGCCUUGGAGAUAGAAAACUCUGAAGCAAGUUUUGUUUAUUCCAGAAUGUCAUAUAGUUGGUAUAAGAAAGAACACUAAUCAUUCUUAAGGAAGAAAAUUAACAACACCGCGAGUUAUAACACCUGGCUGAAAGUGAAGGAUCUCUGGGUAAUUAAAAAUCCUCUCUGCCCUGAUGUUUUAUAAAUUGGAAAAAAAAAAAAAAAAAAGUUGUUUUUUCAUCUCCAUUCCCUAGCAU